rnacentral:rRNA from 1 species
GUACACAAAAGCGCAUGUGCUGUGAGCUCGAUGAGUAGGGCGGGACACGUGGUAUCCUGUCUGAAUAUGGGGGGACCAUCCUCCAAGGCUAAAUACUCCUGACUGACCGAUAGUGAACCAGUACCGUGAGGGAAAGGCGAAAAGAACCCCGGCGAGGGGAGUGAAAAAGAACCUGAAACCGUGUACGUACAAGCAGUGGGAGCCCCACCACUAAGCCAGUGGUGAACUCCACAUACGCAUCCUUUGCUGAGGAUACGGUUAACGGAGCGAAAGCGACGUUCAACCGCAAAAAAAGAAGCAGAGGGGGCUUAGUGGUGGGGUGACUGCGUACCUUUUGUAUAAUGGGUCAGCGACUUAUAUUCUGUAGCAAGGUUAACCGAAUAGGGGAGCCGGAGGGAAACCGAGUCUUAAUUGGGCGUUAAGUUGCAGGGUAUAGACCCGAAACCCGGUGAUCUAGCCAUGGGCAGGUUGAAGGUUGGGUAACACUAACUGGAGGACCGAACCGACUAAUGUUGAAAAAUUAGCGGAUGACCUGUGGCUGGGGGUGAAAGGCCAAUCAAACCGGGAGAUAGCUGGUUCUCCCCGAAAGCUAUUUAGGUAGCGCCUCGUGAAUUCAUCUCCGGGGGUAGAGCACUGUUUCGGCUAGGGGGCCAUCCCGGCUUACCAACCCGAUGCAAACUGCGAAUACCGGAGAAUGUUAUCACGGGAGACACACGGCGGGUGCUAACGUCCGUCGUGAAGAGGGAAACAACCCAGACCGCCAGCUAAGGUCCCAAAGUCAUGGUUAAGUGGGAAACGAUGUGGGAAGGCCCAGACAGCCAGGAUGUUGGCUUAGAAGCAGCCAUCAUUUAAAGAAAGCGUAAUAGCUCACUGGUCGAGUCGGCCUGCGCGGAAGAUGUAACGGGGCUAAACCAUGCACCGAAGCUGCGGCAGCGACGCUGAUGCGUUGUUGGGUAGGGGAGCGUUCUGUAAGCCUGCGAAGGUGUGUCGUGAGGCAUGCUGGAGGUAUCAGAAGUGCGAAUGCUGACAUAAGUAACGAUAAAGCGGGUGAAAAGCCCGCUCGCCGGAAGACCAAGGGUUCCUGUCCAACGUUAAUCGGGGCAGGGUGAGUCGACCCCUAAGGCGAGGCCGAAAGGCGUAGUCGAUGGGAAACGGGUUAAUAUUCCCGUACUUGGUGUUACUGCGAAGGGGGGACGGAGAAGGCUAUGUUGGCCGGGCGACGGUUGUCCCGGUUUAAGCGUGUAGGUGUGUGUUCCAGGUAAAUCCGGUUCACUUUAACACUGAGGCGUGAUGACGAGGCACUACGGUGCUGAAGCAACAAAUGCCCUGCUUCCAGGAAAAGCCUCUAAGCAUCAGGUAACAUCAAAUCGUACCCCAAACCGACACAGGUGGUCAGGUAGAGAAUACCAAGGCGCUUGAGAGAACUCGGGUGAAGGAACUAGGCAAAAUGGUGCCGUAACUUCGGGAGAAGGCACGCUGACACGUAGGUGAAGUGAUUUACUCAUGGAGCUGAAGUCAGUCGAAGAUACCAGCUGGCUGCAACUGUUUAUUAAAAACACAGCACUGUGCAAACACGAAAGUGGACGUAUACGGUGUGACGCCUGCCCGGUGCCGGAAGGUUAAUUGAUGGGGUCAGCGCAAGCGAAGCUCCUGAUCGAAGCCCCGGUAAACGGCGGCCGUAACUAUAACGGUCCUAAGGUAGCGAAAUUCCUUGUCGGGUAAGUUCCGACCUGCACGAAUGGCGUAAUGAUGGCCAGGCUGUCUCCACCCGAGACUCAGUGAAAUUGAACUCGCUGUGAAGAUGCAGUGUACCCGCGGCAAGACGGAAAGACCCCGUGAACCUUUACUAUAGCUUGACACUGAACAUUGAGCCUUGAUGUGUAGGAUAGGUGGGAGGCUUUGAAGUGUGGACGCCAGUCUGCAUGGAGCCGGCCUUGAAAUACCACCCUUUAAUGUUUGAUGUUCUAACGUGGACCCGUGAUCCGGGUUGCGGACAGUGUCUGGUGGGUAGUUUGACUGGGGCGGUCUCCUCCUAAAGAGUAACGGAGGAGCACGAAGGUUGGCUAAUCCUGGUCGGACAUCAGGAGGUUAGUGCAAUGGCAUAAGCCAGCUUGACUGCGAGCGUGACGGCGCGAGCAGGUGCGAAAGCAGGUCAUAGUGAUCCGGUGGUUCUGAAUGGAAGGGCCAUCGCUCAACGGAUAAAAGGUACUCCGGGGAUAACAGGCUGAUACCGCCCAAGAGUUCAUAUCGACGGCGGUGUUUGGCACCUCGAUGUCGGCUCAUCACAUCCUGG